rnacentral:sRNA from 1 species
GCCCAAUUUCGCACGUGCCUGUGGUCGCGUGCCGGUUGGCGGGAUGCCGGACAAGAGGCCGGUUUGCCCGCCCGAUAUGCGGAGACAAGUGUUCCCCGCAUUUUUGACCGACCGGCAGCCGGAGGCGAAACCGGCCCACUCUGCUCUCCGCAGGGGACGGGACUUAAAGCAACGACGGAACGGGCUUUU